rnacentral:misc_RNA from 1 species
GAUGAAGAACGUAGCGAAAUGCGAUACGUAAUGUGAAUUGCAGAAUUCAGUGAAUCAUCGAGUCUUUGAACGCACAUUGCGCCCCCUGGUAUUCCGGGGGGCAUGCCUGUCCGAGCGUCAUUGCUGCCCUCAAGCACGGCUUGUGUGUUGGGCCUCCGUCCUCCUCCCGGGGGACGGGCCCGAAAGGCAGCGGCGGCACCGCGUCCGGUCCUCGAGCGUAUGGGGCUUCGUCACCCGCUCUUGUAGGCCCGGCCGGCGCUUGCCGACACAUCAAUCUUUUUUCCAGGUUGACCUCGGAUCAGAUAGGGAUACCCGCUGAACUUAAGCAUAUCAAUAAGCGGAGGA